GAGGAUGGGUAAGUUAGGGAGAAACUUUUGGUCAAUAAUUGUGCAGUUAAAGAAGUUACCCUCAUUUCUAUGUUGAAAUUUGCAAAUUUAAAUUUGGAUUAAUCAGAAUAAAGGUUAUAAACUUUUCCCAAUUUGCGGUUGUGGCUUAUAAUAUGAAAAAUGAUAAGUUUUUGCCUGCACUUCAAUUAGGAGCUGUAGUAGUGGCCAAGCCCAAGCCACAGAAUCCAUUUAAUUAUAUUUAAAAUCAGCUUCUAAUAUGACCAUUGCAAAAGGAAGUACCUAUUUGAUGGCUUAGGUUUAAAUCACGAUUCAUGGUCCCACAUAAUUAAAAUGGGAUUAUCAUCAUGCAAAUCUGUUUGUAAAAACUUAAAAUAUACGAUUUGACUGAAAGUAACAAAUACAACAUACUGACGAGCAUAAAUACAUCUAAGAAAGAGAUU
rnacentral:misc_RNA from 1 species